GACGAACGCUGGCGGCGUGCCUAACACAUGCAAGUCGAGCGGGGAUAUACGGAAGGUUUACCGGAAGUAUAUCCUAGCGGCGGACGGGUGAGUAACGCGUGGGUAACCGUACCUCAUACAGGGGGAUAACACCAGGGAAACCCUGUGCUGAAUACCCGCAUAAUAUAACGGGGCGGCAUCGUCCCUGUUAUCAAAGGAGAAAUCCGGUAUGAGAUGGGGCCCCCGCGUCCGA
rnacentral:rRNA from 1 species